UGAAUUUGAAGCUUGUUCUACACCGUUGGGACAGCCAUCUGACUGGGCUGUAGAACCGAAUUCUCAGGAAUUUGAUUUUACCACGGCGAUCAAUAGUUCUGGUGGAAAAUCCUCUGCCAUGGGUCAUAACCGAUCAGGAGCUGGAAAGCCUGCAGCAGUGCUCAGGCAUUCCCCUCAGGGACCAGAUGCUCCGAAAUCCAAUCUGGAUGGAAAUUCUUCUUCAGCAUCCUCCAGCCCAGCAGUAGAGCUUCUGCUACCACUAGAAGAUCCUACAUAAGAGGUCAUCUUCUGCUUCAUCAUCAGUGGUGUCAUCAAGUGCAAGCUCCAUCUUCUCAGGUGUGUCGGUGAUGAUUCCUGUUUUUAACCUUUCUCAUCAUUCUGGGCCUUCUUGCUUUGGCUUUUGGCAAGGGAAGUAUGACUUGGAGACACAUAACUCCCAUGGGCCCCAGAACCAGUUGAGGUACUCAGCUGCACCUAAUGAAACUGUACAGUAUUUAAACGUGACUGCCCUCUCUCCGUCUGUCAACUGUAACUAUCCUUAUCCUCUAGGUCACCCCAAAAUACUCUACAAAGUUUUCAAAGAACCUACUUUGGAUUGAUCAGGGUCGUUGUCUUCCUGUCUAGAGGGCUAUUUUUUCCAGAUCUGUCUAACAAAACGGGAAAAACGUAAACUCAUUUUUACUCUGUCAUAUGUGCACAGAAUUAAAUUUUCAAGAGGGGACGUGCAUACAUAAUGAGGCCAAAGCAUUGACAGGUGUCUGGGUCACUGCUGAUUUAUUAAGGCCUUAGAUGGGGUAUAAGGUUGCUGAGAUCAGAGGUUUGAUUUUGACAGAAAAAGUGACUAUAUUUGUCGAUUACAUGCGCACCUUUCUCAAGGGAAAGCAAGAAGCCACAGGAUACCCUCCUGAAGCAGUAGAUCAGCAAAGCAGAGAAAAAUACAUCUGGGACAACCAGGCAAAUCAGGGCAUUUUGUUAGACGCGUCUAAAAUUACAUCCAACCCUAUUGAAAGACAAGUGUCUAAACUAUGUCUCAACAGCUUUUGGGUGUUACGGACAGAACUGGCCGGAGACACAAGAAAGUGUAUGAUAUAAUUUAUUGAAGCACAAGUACUUAGUAAGUGGAAGGAAGUAUACUGUCCUUUGAAUGGAGGUGCAGAGUUCUGGAGUCGAGUGGCGGAGCACAGAGGAGUUGGACCACACGGGCCAGGAGACUGGAGCGACUCACAUGGAAGACGAGAGACACACGGGACCAGGAGCUGGAGUGGAUAACUCACGGCGGACUGGAGACUCACGGGGACUGGAGCUGGAGUGCCACACACGGAGAACAGGAGCACGAAGUAGCCGGAGACGAGGUACUGGAGGCUGGUAGUAGAUUGCUCAUGAAGAAAAGGGAGUUCAAGGUGUUUAAUUAUUCAGGGGAACUAGCGUCCUAUCCUUAGUCAUAAACGACACCGGACCCAGACUGUCGUGAGGAGCUGGGUUAUAUAGGGGAGUAGAGUGGCUGAUUACGUGCAGGUGUGAGAUAGGUGACAGGUGAUUUGCAUUAGUACUCAGGUGAGGGAGUGCAGAGUGAAGGAGAGUGGCUGGAGAGAACAUGACAGACUGUGACAUUGGGGUAGUUUGUACAGAUAAGUACUUACUCAAACUAAAAUAAUCACAGAGCCUGAACACUUUUUCAAGUUUAUGUUUUCAGAAGAAUACAACGUCAAGUACUUCUCAUUCCUCAACGAUAAAAUAGCUCUAAUGCAGAGUUAGUCUGUAGCACCCCCUAACAAGGUAAACAAUGUAGGCUAUUCAUAGCAGCUUUCACCACAGCCUAUGCUCAUCUCAAGCUGUACAGUUUUAUGGAACUGUUACAAGAGAGGGUUCUUCACUAUGAUACAGAUAGUCUUAUCUAUGUCACAAAAGAGGGGCAGCUGCGACUUGAACUGGGCAAUUAUCUGGGGCAGUUGACGGAGGAGCUAGGGGGUAACAGCAUACAGAAAUUUUCUGCAGCGGGGCCCAAAAGUUAUGCCUAUCAAACCAAAAACAAAAACUACUAUGCAUGAAGGCUACAUUAAAAACUCUGAGGAGAGCGUCAUUACAGCUCCACAGCACAACACUGUGCAUACUAAAAAGGGGUUUUAUUUUAAAAACUUGACAGUUCACAGAAAGUUUAGAGUGGUGUAUGACAAAAGGCAGCUCUUAUGCCACAGUCAAACUGUACCCUUUGGUAGCCUGAUUGAUUUAAAAUGUCACACCUUGGUGUAAUGACUGACUUUGAUCCUAGGUU